GUCGGAAUGGCGCAGUGGUCUACCGCGGAAGAUUCGAAUUACCCGGAUUCCGGUCCGGAGACGUUGCAUCUUCUCCUCUCCGAGGGCGCAGGUUCGAAUCCUGCUUCCGACG